ACUGCAAGUAAUUAAAUCUCUUUGCCGCACCCAAUUUUUUAUGUUUGCCGCCCUCAUUUUUCUUUUCUUUUUUGAAAAGUUUGCCGCUAAUACGAACUCACCGCAUUUUUUUAAGGAAGAAAAUACCCUCGUAUAUAUCCUAGGCCCUGUCCCGAGCCUCAAUCUUUUCCUCUCCCAUCCCCUCCUCCCCCUUCUCUCCUCCAGCUGUCUCUCCCUUCCCUCCCCUCGCCAACCACAACCACGCCUUGCUGCUCUGACGACCGUCGGAUCCCUCCCCUAGCCAACCACCGCCGCCAACCGACCGGCCCCGCUGCUACACCGGACCUCCUCCUCCCUGCCUCUCGCCGCAGAUGCCUCCCCUGCCGGAUCCGGGCGCGCACAGCCCCGUCUCCCCCGGAUCUGGGCGCCCUCGGCCUCGUCUCCACCGGAUCCGGCCGCCCUCAGGCAUGUCUCGACCGGAUCCUGGCUACUUCGGCCCUGCUGCGUGCCGCCGGAACUCGGUACAUUUUUUUCGCUCCUCUCUUGGUUUUCUCUCUUUCAUUCUCUCUCUUACUCUUUCUCUCUCUCUCUCUGGUGGCUGACCUGCUCCCCGGGAGGAUGGUAGCGGGCGUCCGGCGGCGGCCAAGUACAACUACGCCACUCUAGCCAUCCCCGGCUUCUCCCCCGCCGGAUCCGACGUGUUUAAGCUUUGAUCGAUGUGCAUGCUCUGUAAUUUAUUUGUUUUCUAGGUUAAUCAAUGUGUAUGCUUUCUAUUCUCUGUAAGACUCGACAUUUGCUUGUUAAUAAAGCUCGAGAUUUGCUUGUUAACAAGUACUCCGUAUGAAUUUAUUUAUGUGUAUUCUCCACCAUCGUCGACAUUGAAGUGCAAGCCCGUGUGGCCUACUUAUUUUUUUUAAUUCCUCA
rnacentral:lncRNA from 1 species